CCUACGGGAGGCAGCAGUGGGGAAUAUUGGACAAUGGGGGGAACCCUGAUCCAGCCAUGCCGCGUGUGUGAAGAAGGCCCUCGGGUUGUAAAGCACUUUCAGUGAGGAAGAACGCCUGGUGGUUAAUACCCAUCAGGAAAGACAUCACUCACAGAAGAAGCACCGGCUAACUCCGUGCCAGCAGCCGCGGUAAUACGGAGGGUGCGAGCGUUAAUCGGAAUUACUGGGCGUAAAGCGCGCGUAGGUGGCUUGAUAAGCCGGUUGUGAAAGCCCCGGGCUCAACCUGUGAACGGCAUCCGGAACUGUCAAGCUAGAGUGCAGGAGAGGAAGGUAGAAUUCCCGGUGUAGCGGUGAAAUGCGUAGAGAUCGGGAGGAAUACCAGUGGCGAAGGCGGCCUUCUGGACUGACACUGACACUGAGGUGCGAAAGCGUGGGUAGCAAACAGGAUUAGAUACCCCUGUAGUC
rnacentral:rRNA from 1 species